rnacentral:lncRNA from 1 species
CUAGUUUUUCUGCUAUUAACAUUGUACAUCCUCUCCAUUCACUCCCAAUCUCUCCCAUUCACCCAACAGCAGUAUCUUAAAGAAAGAAGCUUGUUCCUACAAAGCACACGCAGAGUAGGUUUGCAAAUAAUGAUAGUAUUAUGUGUUUCUUGUACUGUCUAUCGCUCACCAACAAUCCUGCUCACAUUUCAAUUUUAGGACUGGGAAUUCUAUUUAGGCUAUGGUUUUGUGUGUGACUGUGAGCCAGUUUGUUAUCCAGCAGCUGACAAUGGCAUAUUUUUUCUAUCUUGAUUAUUUUCUUGGGAUUUCUGGCCGUCCUGUUUAGGCUCCUGCUGCUGGCAGGUGGCUCCCACCAGCAUCCCAAUGAUGCAGGGAUUGAGAUGUUCCAGAAACGCCUGCCCAAGAAGGUUAGAGGGAAUUUCCACUUGGACAAAUACCUGCAAGGCACAGGACCUCAAAAACAUACGCCUUUGUAGACUAAUCUGUAGAAUGUAUUUUUUUUCCUAAGGGGUUCCUGCCGCAUUUCCCCCAAGCCUAUUUAAACACUUGAAUUUCUUUUCACAUCUAGACUAAUUUUGCCCAUUAUAGAUGAGUGUUCUUCAAGGAGGAAUUAUUUCGUGUAUGAAAAUAGUGAAACUGGAUAAAACAUGAAUACACCUUUAUUACAAGUGAAGUUUUUAGAUUAGCCCUGAACUAACUACUGCCAGUCGUCCUCUUUUUUGCUGAGGAAGCCUGGCCCUGAGCUAAUAUCCGUGCCCAUCUUCCUCUACUUUCUACGUGGGACGCCUACCACAGCAUAGCGUGCCAAGCGGUGCCAUGUCUGCACCUGGGAUCCCAACCAGAGAACCCUGGGCCACUGAGAAGCGGAACGUGAGAACUUAACCACUGCGCCACCGGGCUGGCCCCUACGUCAAUAAUUCUUUAAUCAGUAAUCCUGGUUGUCAUAUUCACAACCCAUUGACUAGUUUAUAUUCUCUCCAGUUAAGUGACCGUGCUACGUUUAGAAUACAAGUCAUUGUUCUUUGGGUCUGUCUCAGUGUGAGAAUAAAAUAUGCUCUCACAUUACCAUCACUUGUGGUAGGUUGUUACAAU